CAUUCACUUGAUGCCAAAGAAAGAUGAACUAAAGAAAGAAUCCAUAAAGACUGGGAAAGCUUCUAAAAUGCAAUCCCAGAAAAGGGAUUAUGAAGCACAGUCCCAAAAGGUCCAUCUAAGGCUGAGGCACCUAAACAGUGACUAAAGCUCAGCUUUACUGUUAGCCUGUAGGCUCAAUUCUGGAUCCCUUAUGUAUUCAUGGAAGAUUUAUUGCAAUAAGUACUGUCAGUCUGUAUAAUAAAUUCUCUCUUAUUUUGUGCAGGCCUACAUCAGAUAAAAAGCAAAGUGGCAUAAAGAAGGCAAAACCUGUAAAGCAGCCACCAAAGACUGGGACAGCCGCUAAGGCAAAGCCCCAGAAAGUGAAAGGUGCAACUAAAUCUUCAGCACCUAACAAGAAAAAACCAGUUACAAAGUUAAGCAGCAAAAUUGCCAAACGGACAACAAUGACUGGCAAAGCGGCAAUGACUGGCAAAGCGGCAAUGACUGGCAAAGCGGCUAGCUUAUCAUCGAAGAAGAACUUACCAAAGGCCAAGAAAACCAAGAAAUGAGAUACAAUAAGGACUUAAUGAGGUGGAAAAGUGGGCGGAGGAGGGUUCAGGAUUCUACAACAACCUGAGAAAUGAGAGAUACACUUUAAUUUCAUCUUUGUUACUCAGACUUGACUUAUCGACGUUGAAGAGGAGGUUAAAGUGGGCGGAGGUGGGUUUAGGGUGCGACAAACACCCGUGACUAUUGAUGUAACUGAGGCUAGCCAAAUAUUCUUAAGCUGGCCUUGACCAACAAGUAGUUACAUCAAAGUCAAGAAGAGAAAUUUGCUUUGUCAGAAGAAACCAAAAGCAUCAGGCAGCGCUUUGAUGGACCAGACUGACAAGAACUAAUAACCCUGCAAAGAAGAUAGGAAACAUCCCCAGGACGUGCAGGACCUUCUCACUACAGUAUUGAAGACACUUUAUAGAAGAGAAGACUUCACCUUCAGUUGCCCCCCAGCAACUUUAGGAGAUGAAAUUCCUUUAUUUGUUCUCAAACUGGAAAUUCAUCUGUUCUAGUGCAGACCAUGAUACUGUUGUGAGAAAUAACUUGAAAUAAAAGAUAUUCGAUUAAA